CAACCUCUCCCCGUCUAUCUCUCUGCUCUCUCUUCCUCUCUGUCUGGAUACCAAUACACCAUUUUAAAGAAAACAUUGUUUUGGUUAACCUGAAGAUUGUGGUGCCCGCUUAUCGUUCGUCGUCCCAGUCACUUCGCAUUGAUCAUUUCUGAGAUUUUGAGAAGAAAUUGCCUGGAGACACGGCCGUAUUCUUUGUCAGGAUUAUCAAGAUCAUAUGUGGUCAGAGCUAUGAGGAAGAAAUUUUUGGAUAAUUCGAAAUCUAACUCUUCAUUUCUCGGUUCUGAACAUGCAUUUGUUGGAUUUUGAAGUUGUCUUGAUCCUUCUAUGACACCAUGAGAGAGGAUAUUGACUCAGGUUUAGUUUGCUCUGUUCUGUGUGGAUUUGCAUUGCUAUGAGGCAGCAGUGCUAUAACAUAUUUUUGACAAAGGAUCAAGAUGUUCUACGUGAAACAGAUAGAGAAUUUUGAAGAGUUUAUGAAUUGUUUGGGCUAUGGACAAAUGUUUGAGGUUUUGGUACAGAAUACAGCUUUGUGAAUGAAAAGUCUUUGGUCAGCAUUAGGUAAUUGGUUACCUACAUUGAUGGGACGUAGGACUAUAAUAGACUCCAAGUCCUCUCACUACAUAGUUCACGAUAUACACCAUCUAAAGUACCGAGUGAAGUUAGAGAAACAUCUCUGGAUUACGGUGAUUCCACAGUAGUUCGAGGAGCUUCUACUCAGCAUACUUCGGAGACAAGCAAUCAAGACUUAGAACUAUAGCUGGAGCAAACACAUUGAUAUCAGGUAUCACAAAAUUAAGGAGUUGGUUGCUGAAAAAAAUCCAAGUUGCAGAUAUUUUUACAAAGUCGUUAAAAACGGAGACGUUUCUCAAAUUGAAGAUGGAAAUUGGGAUGACCAAUAUAUCCAACUUAGCUUAAGGGAGGCAAUGUUAAUUGUCUCUUUUCUUUGAAUAUGUGGUGAGUACUCCUUAGAUACAGGAAAGUUACGAUUAAAUUCAAGGGGAAGGCUCUAUUGACAAUAGUUUGUAUACUAAGGGGAGUCAAGAUUGCAGAAGGAAGCUAGUGAAUGAUAAUUUGGGAAAGAGAGAUUUCAGGUCUAAUUCUACAACAAGAAAAUUUGGUGCUACAAGUGCAAGGAGUUUGGGUACAUGAAAAUAGAUUAUCCAAUGUUGAAGAAGCAACAGGAAGCUGCGAACAUGGUACAUGCUUAUGACUCAAAUUAUAGUAAAGAUAAUGUUCUAUGCUUGGAUUCUGAACUUAGGAUUCUCUUAUCGUAUUACACCUAACAGGGCCUAUAGACCAAGUACUUUCGGUUCUGUUUUUCUAGAUCAUGAUAAAUGUCAUAAUAUUGUAGGUUGUUAAUAAAAUGAUUAUUACAAAAA